rnacentral:rRNA from 1 species
AUGUCAGCGCUUGAGAUUCUCCAGUUUGUUAUGGCUGUAGAUUGCUAUCCAAAUGUUUUUGUUGCCUAUCGGAUCCUCUUAACAGUGCCUGCGACUGUAGCCUCAGCUGAAAGAAGUUUCUCUAAACUGAAACUACUGAAAACUUAUUUGAGGUCAACUAUGUUGCAAGAUAGAUUGAAUGGCCUGGCUAUGUGCUGCAUUGAGAAGGAUAUCUUGGACAAUGUUGAUCUUGAUUGUGCCCUUAAUGACUUCGCAUCAAGAAAUGCCCGAAGAAACUUUUUUUGA